CUGGCGUGCCUGCGCCCACUCCACCCUGAAGCAUGGGGCAGGUUUCAGGACCCUGAGGCACUGGGGACGCUUGGUGAUGAGCAGGCAGGAGGGCAGCGAGCCAGCCAGAUGGCCCACAGGUAGCAGCGAGGGGGCUCAGUUACCUGUGUCCUUGCCCGGGAUCCGAGUGGUGUUGAACAUCCUCUCCAUCUGGUAGGAGCACAUGGGCACUAUGCCCAGUGCCAUCACCUGAGGGAAGGCCCAGCGUGGCUCAGACUCAGGUCUCCCCUCCCAUCCCACCUUCAACCCCGACGCAACUCACAGGCUUGAUUUCUUCACGGUCCAGUUUACGGCGAUACAUGAUCAUGGCAUGGAUGAUGUUUCCCAGGCGGGCUGCCUGCACGUCUGUAUUCUUGAUGAGCACAAGGUCCUACAGAGGAACAGAGCCCGCGGGGUGGGGGCCUCUGUCUGGGUGUCACCUGAGUCUUGCUGACCCAAGGACCAAUCUAUUCGGGGGCCUGAGGUGUUCUGUCUCCCUCUUCCAGUACAUCCUGCACAUGCUGCCGGGGUGAACCUCCAGAAAUGCACAACUGAUCGCAGUAACCCUCUGC